rnacentral:rRNA from 1 species
UAGGGAAUCUUCCACAAUGGGCGAAAGCCUGAUGGAGCAACGCCGCGUGUGUGAUGAAGGGUUUCGGCUCGUAAAACACUGUUGUAAGAGAAGAACAUAUCUGAGAGUAACUGUUCAGGUAUUGACGGUAUUUAACCAGAAAGCCACGGCUAACUACGUGCCAA